GAAAGGAAACUAUGCGAUCAUGCCCUUGUUUUUAUGGUUCGAGGUAUAUGCACUUUAUGGAGACAGCCCAUAGCUUAUUAUUUAUGUGAAGGAACAACUCCAACUAUUAAGUUGAAAAACAUUUUAAAGAUCCUGAAGCAUCAACCAGCACGACAAAGCCUAAGAAAGAAAAUGUAGUUGAAUCAUUUGUUAAAUUGUCAGAGGUAAAAAAUGAAUUGGUAGAGGUGCAAUUAAAAAUUGCUAAAAAUCAACUCGAAUCACCAAAAUAAAAUCCAGGAAUUGGAACUUGAACGUUUAAAAAGAAAAAUAGAAUUUGAAAAACUAAAACAGGAGUCUGAAAUGGAGUUUUUAAAACAAAAAUGGGAAUUGGAAUUAAGUAUCAUACAAAAUAAAAAGGAUAGUUUUUAAGUGUACGCAGAUAGAUAGAAAUAGAAAGAUGGGUGUAAGCCUCUUCGCCCACUACUCGACUCUCAAGCGACGCGACUGGGACGGAAACCUUGGUCGCAUAUAUUUCACGAGUCAACGACGCGUCGAAGGCCCGUUUUUAUUUGGUUUGUUUUAUAGGCGAUCAUGGAUUGCGUCGCAGUCGUGUCGCUUAAGAGUCGCGUAGUGGGAGAAGAAGGGGCUCAGAGUAAUAUUUUAGAAGCACGUAAGUAAUUAUAUGGAGGUUGAAUUUUUAAAAAUGAUCCAAAUUAAAAUGACACAUUUAUAAUUGUUUACAAAAUAAAGUUGAUUUGUUGACAUGCAUGAUAGUUUUCUUUUAAAAAUAUGUGUAAGUUCAGUAACUAAUAUACUAGUAUAAGUAUACCGUUUGCAUAGGGUAGCAUAAUGCAUUAGGUUGCAGAUUUAGCACCUACCUAACGGCAUGGCACCGCUCAGUAGUGUUGCGUCACAAGGAAGGACACUGCACUACACUGCUAUCCACAUUGACUUAUAACAUAACAACGUUGCGGUGCCGCUGCGGCAAAACAACGAACGUUGCGGCGCCGCACCGCUCGUGUGCCCACUGCGACACCGCUCCGGCGCCGCACCGCCGCCGCAACGCAUCGUGUGCUCUUGCUCAGACAUUGACGUGCAUUUGAAUGUGUAAAACUAAAAAACUUCAAGCUAUGAUAGAACAACUUUAAUACAAAUAAAUAAUAACAAGUGUUUCUUAGAAAAUUUCAAAAUAAAACAACAUGCCAAAUAAACUGGUGUUUGGUAGGUAGUUUAAAUACACUGUAGUCACACUGUAUCACAAUGACUUCCCACACUUAUGAUGACUAAACAGUAAGCUUUCUUAGAAGCACAUCCGCCCCUUAGACGAUGAUGUGCUGAGUAAACAUUUUUGUAACAAACAAGCGAGACGCAUUGUUCGGCAGUCCGGUAUCAAACUCUAUCGGAGCUAGUCGCGAAUAAAACUCUUUGUGACUAAUAAUUAAGCUUUUAAUUUUAAUCUUAGUUUUUAAAAA